AUUGAACGCUGGCGGCAUGCCUUACACAUGCAAGUCGAACGGCAGCACGGGAGCAAUCCUGGUGGCGAGUGGCGAACGGGUGAGUAAUAUAUCGGAACGUGCUCAGUAGUGGGGGAUAGCCCGGCGAAAGCCGGAUUAAUACCGCAUACGACCUGUGGGUGAAAGCGGGGGAUCGCAAGACCUCGCGCUAUUGGAGCGGCCGAUAUCAGAUUAGCUUGUUGGUGGGGUAAAAGCCCACCAAGGCGACGAUCUGUAGCUGGUCUGAGAGGACGACCAGCCACACUGGGACUGAGACACGGCCCAGACUCCUACGGGAGGCAGCAGUGGGGAAUUUUGGACAAUGGGCGCAAGCCUGAUCCAGCCAUGCCGCGUGUGGGAAGAA
rnacentral:rRNA from 1 species